ACUAAAAUGGCGGCUGACAGAAGGAGGGUAAGCCCUUUCCACGAUCCCGAGGGGAGCAAAGAGACCUCCGGGAACAAGCUGGUCCGACGACUAUUAUGGCAAGCAACAAGCCACUACUACAGCAACCAAGCAAAAAAGGCUAACCACUCACAGCCACCCCUGGUGAGACCGCGCCACCAAAUAACGACCAACCGACAUCUAGAUUGCAAUGAACUCACAGGGGGCACCGAUAAUGCAGAGACUCAUACGACCUAUCUACGACAACGAUACUUUACCCUCUUACCAGCAUUGAGCCACAACGCAAAAGUCUCUCCACCAAGCAGCAAAGCGGAACGGGCGGACAACAUCCACAAGACUACAAGCGAAUGGGCACAACAAUGCUCCACAACCCACUGGAUGAUCCGACGUCCCCACUACUACUCCUACCGGAGCAACCGGGGGAACAUGGACAUGACUGCAACCUUGAACACCAGCGGCAAGCAUAAAAUACUGUCUAAAUAUAAGAGACUGCCAACAUAAAGGGGGUUCUUAGUAACUCAGUCGUUUUUACCAGCUACCAGUCAGGAAUAUGGGGAUCUGCACUUAACUAGCUAAUACUGUUGUGUCUUUUUCUCGGGAGGUGGGAGGCAUAGCUGGUUAAUCUGGGUCCAGGGAAGUGCUUGUAACUAAAUGCUUAAUUACUGAAGCACCACAUCUGGCAAGGCACAAUUUUGAUGUAUAGGCUCCAUCACAUAUCAACCGAGUUACAUGUUAAAACUAGCCUGA
rnacentral:lncRNA from 1 species